UCGAUCUGCUGAGGACAGAUGAAGUGGAUAUGGGCGUCGAUAGCGCCUGCUGUUAGAAUCUGGCCUUCUCCAGCGAUGAUUUCGGUGCCGGGGCCGAUAAUAAUAUUGACGCCUUCUUGGGUAUCCGGGUUGCCAGCCUUGCCUAUUGCUGCGAUCCGACCGUUUUGGAUACCAACGUCAGCUUUGACAAUGCCCCAAUGAUCAAGAAUGAGAGCGUUAGUGAUCACCAGAUCCAUUACGGUCGACUCAUUGCUUUGACUUUGGCCCAUGCCAUCUCG
rnacentral:sRNA from 1 species